rnacentral:rRNA from 1 species
UGGGGAAUUUUGGACAAUGGGCGAAAGCCUGAUCCAGCCAUUCCGCGUGAGUGAAGAAGGCCUUCGGGUUGUAAAGCUCUUUCGCAAGGGAAGAAAACUUAGCUACUAAUAUUAGCUGAGGUUGACGGUACCUUGAUAAGAAGCACCGGCUAACUACGUGCCAGCAGCCGCGGUAAUACGUAGGGUGCGAGCGUUAAUCGGAAUUACUGGGCGUAAAGCGUGCGCAGGCGGUUUUGUAAGUCAGAUGUGAAAUCCCCGAGCUCAACUUGGGAACUGCGUUUGAAACUACAAGACUAGAAUAUGUCAGAGGGGGGUAGAAUUCCACGUGUAGCAGUGAAAUGCGUAGAGAUGUGGAGGAAUACCAAUGGCGAAGGCAGCCCCCUGGGAUAAUAUUGACGCUCAUGCACGAAAGCGUGGGGAGCAAACA